rnacentral:rRNA from 1 species
GAUGAACGCUGGCGGCGUGCCUAAUACAUGCAAGUCGAGCGAACAGACGAGGAGCUUGCUCCUCUGACGUUAGCGGCGGACGGGUGAGUAACACGUGGAUAACCUACCUAUAAGACUGGGAUAACUUCGGGAAACCGGAGCUAAUACCGGAUAAUAUAUUGAACCGCAUGGUUCAAUAGUGAAAGACGGUUUUGCUGUCACUUAUAGCUGGAUCCGCGCCGCAUUAGCUAGUUGGUAAGGUAACGGCUUACCAAGGCAACGAUGCGUAGCCGACCUGAGAGGGUGAUCGGCCACACUGGAACUGAGACACGGUCCAGACUCCUACGGGAGGCAGCAGUAGGGAAUCUUCCGCAAUGGGCGAAAGCCUGACGGAGCAACGCCGCGUGAGUGAUGAAGGUCUUCGGAUCGUAAAACUCUGUUAUUAGGGAAGAACAAAUGUGUAAGGAACUAUGCACGUCUUGACGGUACCGAAUCAGAAAGCCACGGCUAACUACGUG